rnacentral:rRNA from 1 species
GGGUUGUGAGGUUAAGCGACUAAGCGUACACGGUGGAUGCCCUGGCAGUCAGAGGCGAUGAAGGACGUGCUAAUCUGCGAUAAGCGUCGGUAAGGUGAUAUGAACCGUUAUAACCGGCGAUUUCCGAAUGGGGAAACCCAGUGUGAUUCGACACACUAUCAUUAACUGAAUCCAUAGGUUAAUGAGGCGAACCGGGGGAACUGAAACAUCUAAGUACCCCGAGGAAAAGAAAUCAACCGAGAUUCCCCCAGUAGCGGCGAGCGAACGGGGAGCAGCCCAGAGCCUGAAUCAGUGUGUGUGUUAGUGGAAGCGUCUGGAAAGGCGCGCGAUACAGGGUGACAGCCCCGUACACAAAAAUGCACAUACUGUGAGCUCGAUGAGUAGGGCGGGACACGUGGUAUCCUGUCUGAAUAUGGGGGGACCAUCCUCCAAGGCUAAAUACUCCUGACUGACCGAUAGUGAACCAGUACCGUGAGGGAAAGGCGAAAAGAACCCCGGCGAGGGGAGUGAAAAAGAACCUGAAACCGUGUACGUACAAGCAGUGGGAGCCUCUUUAUGGGGUGACUGCGUACCUUUUGUAUAAUGGGUCAGCGACUUAUAUUCUGUAGCAAGGUUAACCGAAUAGGGGAGCCGAAGGGAAACCGAGUCUUAACUGGGCGUUAAGUUGCAGGGUAUAGACCCGAAACCCGGUGAUCUAGCCAUGGGCAGGUUGAAGGUUGGGUAACACUAACUGGAGGACCGAACCGACUAAUGUUGAAAAAUUAGCGGAUGACUUGUGGCUGGGGGUGAAAGGCCAAUCAAACCGGGAGAUAGCUGGUUCUCCCCGAAAGCUAUUUAGGUAGCGCCUCGUGAAUUCAUCUCCGGGGGUAGAGCACUGUUUCGGCAAGGGGGUCAUCCCGACUUACCAACCCGAUGCAAACUGCGAAUACCGGAGAAUGUUAUCACGGGAGACACACGGCGGGUGCUAACGUCCGUCGUGAAGAGGGAAACAACCCAGACCGCCAGCUAAGGUCCCAAAGUCAUGGUUAAGUGGGAAACGAUGUGGGAAGGCCCAGACAGCCAGGAUGUUGGCUUAGAAGCAGCCAUCAUUUAAAGAAAGCGUAAUAGCUCACUGGUCGAGUCGGCCUGCGCGGAAGAUGUAACGGGGCUAAACCAUGCACCGAAGCUGCGGCAGCGACACUAUGUGUUGUUGGGUAGGGGAGCGUUCUGUAAGCCUGUGAAGGUGUGCUGUGAGGUAUGCUGGAGGUAUCAGAAGUGCGAAUGCUGACAUAAGUAACGAUAAAGCGGGUGAAAAGCCCGCUCGCCGGAAGACCAAGGGUUCCUGUCCAACGUUAAUCGGGGCAGGGUGAGUCGACCCCUAAGGCGAGGCCGAAAGGCGUAGUCGAUGGGAAACAGGUUAAUAUUCCUGUACUUGGUGUUACUGCGAAGGGGGGACGGAGAAGGCUAUGUUGGCCGGGCGACGGUUGUCCCGGUUUAAGCGUGUAGGCUGGUUUUCCAGGCAAAUCCGGAAAAUCAAGGCUGAGGCGUGAUGACGAGGCACUACGGUGCUGAAGCAACAAAUGCCCUGCUUCCAGGAAAAGCCUCUAAGCAUCAGGUAACAUCAAAUCGUACCCCAAACCGACACAGGUGGUCAGGUAGAGAAUACCAAGGCGCUUGAGAGAACUCGGGUGAAGGAACUAGGCAAAAUGGUGCCGUAACUUCGGGAGAAGGCACGCUGAUAUGUAGGUGAAGUCCCUUGCGGAUGGAGCUGAAAUCAGUCGAAGAUACCAGCUGGCUGCAACUGUUUAUUAAAAACACAGCACUGUGCAAACACGAAAGUGGACGUAUACGGUGUGACGCCUGCCCGGUGCCGGAAGGUUAAUUGAUGGGGUUAGCGGUAACGCGAAGCUCUUGAUCGAAGCCCCGGUAAACGGCGGCCGUAACUAUAACGGUCCUAAGGUAGCGAAAUUCCUUGUCGGGUAAGUUCCGACCUGCACGAAUGGCGUAAUGAUGGCCAGGCUGUCUCCACCCGAGACUCAGUGAAAUUGAACUCGCUGUGAAGAUGCAGUGUACCCGCGGCAAGACGGAAAGACCCCGUGAACCUUUACUAUAGCUUGACACUGAACAUUGAGCCUUGAUGUGUAGGAUAGGUGGGAGGCUUUGAAGUGUGGACGCCAGUCUGCAUGGAGCCGACCUUGAAAUACCACCCUUUAAUGUUUGAUGUUCUAACGUUGGCCCCUGAUCGGGGUUGCGGACAGUGUCUGGUGGGUAGUUUGACUGGGGCGGUCUCCUCCUAAAGAGUAACGGAGGAGCACGAAGGUUGGCUAAUCCUGGUCGGACAUCAGGAGGUUAGUGCAAUGGCAUAAGCCAGCUUGACUGCGAGCGUGACGGCGCGAGCAGGUGCGAAAGCAGGUCAUAGUGAUCCGGUGGUUCUGAAUGGAAGGGCCAUCGCUCAACGGAUAAAAGGUACUCCGGGGAUAACAGGCUGAUACCGCCCAAGAGUUCAUAUCGACGGCGGUGUUUGGCACCUCGAUGUCGGCUCAUCACAUCCUGGGGCUGAAGUAGGUCCCAAGGGUAUGGCUGUUCGCCAUUUAAAGUGGUACGCGAGCUGGGUUUAGAACGUCGUGAGACAGUUCGGUCCCUAUCUGCCGUGGGCGCUGGAGAACUGAGGGGGGCUGCUCCUAGUACGAGAGGACCGGAGUGGACGCAUCACUGGUGUUCGGGUUGUCAUGCCAAUGGCACUGCCCGGUAGCUAAAUGCGGAAGAGAUAAGUGCUGAAAGCAUCUAAGCACGAAACUUGCCCCGAGAUGAGUUCUCCCUGACUCCUUGAGAGUCCUGAAGGAACGUUGAAGACGACGACGUUGAUAGGCCGGGUGUGUAAGCGCAGCGAUGCGUUGAGCUAACCGGUACUAAUGAACCGUGAGGCUUAACCUUACAACGCCGAAG